rnacentral:rRNA from 1 species
AGUGAACGCUGGCGGUAGGCCUAACACAUGCAAGUCGAACGGCAGCACAGUAAGAGCUUGCUCUUACGGGUGGCGAGUGGCGGACGGGUGAGGAAUACAUCGGAAUCUACUUUUUCGUGGGGGAUAACGUAGGGAAACUUACGCUAAUACCGCAUACGACCUACGGGUGAAAGCAGGGGAUCUUCGGACCUUGCGCGAUUGGAUGAGCCGAUGUCGGAUUAGCUAGUUGGCGGGGUAAAGGCCCACCAAGGCGACGAUCCGUAGCUGGUCUGAGAGGAUGAUCAGCCACACUGGAACUGAGACACGGUCCAGACUCCUACGGGAGGCAGCAGUGGGGAAUAUUGGACAAUGGGCGCAAGCCUGAUCCAGCCAUACCGUGUGGGUGAAGAAGGCCUUCGGGUUGUAAAGCCCUUUUGUUGGGAAAGAAAAGCAGCAGGUUAAUACCCCGCUGUUCUGACGGUACCCAAAGAAUAAGCACCGGCUAACUUCGUG